rnacentral:rRNA from 1 species
GACGAACGCUGGCGGCGUGCUUAACACAUGCAAGUCGAACGGAAAGGCCCUGCUUUUGUGGAGUGCUCGAGUGGCGAACGGGUGAGUAACACGUGAGUAACCUGCCCUUGACUUUGGGAUAACUUCAGGAAACUGGGGCUAAUACCGGAUAGGAGCUCCUGCUGCAUGGUGGGGGUUGGAAAGUUUCGGCGGUUGGGGAUGGACUCGCGGCUUAUCAGCUUGUUGGUGGGGUAGUGGCUUACCAAGGCUUUGACGGGUAGCCGGCCUGAGAGGGUGACCGGCCACAUUGGGACUGAGAUACGGCCCAGACUCCUACGGGAGGCAGCAGUGGGGAAUAUUGCACAAUGGGCGGAAGCCUGAUGCAGCAACGCCGCGUGCGGGAUGACGGCCUUCGGGUUGUAAACCGCUUUCGCCUGUGACGAAGCGUGAGUGGCGGUAAUGGGUAAAGAAGCACCGGCUAACUACGUG